CGCGUAGGUAAUCUACCCUUUGGCGGGGGACAACAUUCCGAAAGGAAUGCUAAUACCGCGUAAGACCACACUCACUACGGUGAGAGCGGUUAAAGGUGCCUCAAAGCACCACCAGAGGAUGAGCCUGCGUCCCAUCAGCUUGUUGGUAAGGUAAUGGCUUACCAAGGCGAAGACGGGUAGCUGGUCUGAGAGGAUGAUCAGCCACACUGGCACUGGAACACGGGCCAG
rnacentral:rRNA from 1 species